UACGAAGGGGGCUAGCGUUGCUCGGAAUCACUGGGCGUAAAGCGCACGUAGGCGGAUUGCUAAGUCAGGGGGUGAAAUCCUGGAGCUCAACUCCAGAACUGCCUUUGAUACAGCACGUCUUGAGUCCGAUAGAGGUGGGUGGAAUUCCUAGUGUAGAGGUGAAAUUCGUAGAUAUUCGGAAGAACACCAGUGGCGAAGGGCGGCUCACUGGCCCGGUACUGACGCUGAGGUGCGAAAGCGUGGGGAGCAAACAGG
rnacentral:rRNA from 1 species